rnacentral:sRNA from 1 species
GUCAACUACCCCUCCUGAAUCAGAGAUUGAGAAGGGGCUUGUAAAAGCCCAAGUUGACUAGCCUAAGUCUUAAUUGACUACGUUCGGCAGGAUGUAGAUACCUUUGGAUGUAAUCGCCAGUCCGAAGCUCUGUCGUGGCUCUGUAAAAGCUCUGUGAGGAAGGAGCGGUCAACCACGUUGUGAAGCCUGCUGAACAUUGGCGAGGCGAACCUUACCCCUCUUUGGAGGG